UACGGAGGGUGCGAGCGUUGUCCGGAAUCAUUGGGCGUAAAGGGCGCGUAGGUGGCCCGGUCAGUCAGUGGUGAAAGCGCGGGGCUCAACUCCGCGUCGGCCAUUGAUACUGCUGGGCUUGAGCACUGUAGAGGCAGGCGGAAUUCCGGGUGUAGCGGUGGAAUGCGCAGAUAUCAGGAGGAACACCAAUAGCGAAGGCAGCUCGCUGGGACGGUAUUGACGCUAAGGCGCGAAAGCGUGGGGAGCAAACAGG
rnacentral:rRNA from 1 species